rnacentral:lncRNA from 1 species
UUCUCAGCUGAACACUGUCAUCUGCCAGAGCUUCAGGCAAGAACCCAGAACAGAUGAAACCCCAGACAUGACAAAAUAAGCCAAAGAAUACCAGGCCAAGGUGUGAAAGGCCAGAUGAGAACAAGCAGCGUACACGAUUCUGUUGCCAACAGAUCUCCCCUAACAGUGUCGUGCACCAAAUUUCCACAGUGAAUGUCAGGAAAAAAUGGCAAUUGAGAUGAAGAAACUGAGGCAGACAGAGGUGAAGAAACUUGCACAAGGUCAAAGAACAAUCUUUCAGAAAAUGGCAUUGCGUACUGAGGACAGUGAGAAAUAGGAGGUUAUGUUUCCUAUCAAAGCCCUCCAUGUAGAAAGGUGAGCUCUCAGAGAUGAUCUGAAUUAUCUUUGCUUCCACCGUUUCUGCCUAUUGCUACCUGAUCUGUCACAUCCAUGACUGAGAAAUAUUGUCAGCUGGAGAGGCUGAAGAAAUCUGAAAAAAGGCUGAAAGCUGGAACAACUGAUGGAAUUCUA